UUGUUCCUACGGGACGCAGCAGUGAGGAAUAUUGGUCAAUGGGCGCAGGCCUGAACCAGCCAAGUAGCGUGAAGGAUGACUGCCCUAUGGAUUGUAAACUUCUUUUAUAUGGGAAUAAAGUUUUCCACGUGUGGAAUUUUGUAUGUACCAUACGAAUAAGGAUCGGCUAACUCCGUGCCAGCAGCCGCGGUAAUACGGAGGAUCCAAGCGUUAUCCGGAUUUAUUGGGUUUAAAGGGAGCGUAGGUGGACAGUUAAGUCAGUUGUGAAAGUUUGCGGCUCAAC
rnacentral:rRNA from 1 species